rnacentral:rRNA from 1 species
UACGUAGGGGGCGAGCGUUGUCCGGAGUUACUGGGCGUAAAGGGCAUGCAGGCGGUCGGACGCGUUUCGGGUGACAGCGGGUGGCUUAACUACCCGAGUGGUCGAAAGACGGUUUGACUUGAGGACGCGAGAGGGACACGGAAUUCCGGGUGGAGUGGUGAAAUGCGUAGAGAUCCGGAGGAACACCGAAGGCGAAGGCAGUGUCCUGGCGCGUAACUGACGCUGAGGUGCGAAAGCCAGGGAAGCGAACGGG